UACGAAGGGGGCUAGCGUUAAUCGGAAUUACUGGGCGUAAAGCGUGCGUAGGUGGUUUGUUAAGUCCGAUGUGAAAGCCCUGGGCUCAACCUGGGAAUGGCAUUGGAUACUGGCAGGCUAGAGUGCGGUAGAGGGCAGUGGAAUUCCCGGUGUAGCAGUGAAAUGCGUAGAGAUCGGGAGGAACAUCUGUGGCGAAGGCGACUGCCUGGACCAGCACUGACACUGAGGCACGAAAGCGUGGGGAGCAAACAGG
rnacentral:rRNA from 1 species